ACUCAAAGGAAUUGACGGGGGCCCGCACAAGCGGUGGAGCAUGUGGUUUAAUUCGACGCAACGCGAAGAACCUUACCCAGACUUGACAUGCAUAGGACAUCCGUGGAAACACGGCCUCCCCGCAAGGGGUCUAUGCACAGGUGCUGCAUGGCUGUCGUCAGCUCGUGUCGUGAGAUGUUGGGUUAAGUCCCGCAACGAGCGCAACCCUUGUCGCUAGUUGCACCAGAUAAUGCUGAGCACUCUAGCGAGACUGCCGGUGGUAAACCGGAGGAAGGUGGGGAUGACGUCAAGUCCUCAUGGCCCUUACGUCUGGGGCUACACACGUGCUACAAUGACCGGUACAGAGGGAUGCAAGACCGCGAGGUGGAGCCAAUCCCAAAAAGCCGGCCUCAGUUCGGAUUGCAGUCUGCAACUCGACUGCAUGAAGUCGGAAUCGCUAGUAAUCGCUGAUCAGCAGGCAGCGGUGAAUACGUUCCCGGGCCUUGUACACACCGCCCGU
rnacentral:rRNA from 1 species